rnacentral:lncRNA from 1 species
GUCUCUCUCUGUCCGUCUGUCCGUCCGGCAGAGCUGACGGUGGCCGACCGGCGGCAGAAGCGCGAGAUCCGGCAGCUGGAGCAGGAGCUGCAGCGCUGGCAGGUCCUGGUGGACUCCAUCACAGGUGGGCGCCCGCGGACGGACGGACAGACGGACGGACACACGGAUGGACAGCGGGCCGGCCGGCCCUGGGGCUGUCCGUCCGUCUGUCCCUGGGUCCGUCCCUGGGGCUGUCCGUCCGUCCAUCCCCAUGUCCAGCUGGGUGUCCCCGUGUCCAUCCCUGUGUCCAUCCCCGUGUCCAUCUGUCUGUCCAUCCCCGUGUCCAUCCCUGUGUCCAUCUGUCUGUCCCUGUGUCUGUCUGUCCGUNNNNNNNNNNCCAUCUGUCUGUCCCUGUGUCUGUCUGUCCGUCCCCGUGUCCAUCCCGUGUCCGUCUGUCCAUCCCUGUGUCCAUCUCUGUGUCCGUCUGUCCGUUCCUGUGUCCAUCCCUGUGUCUGUCUGUCCAUCCCGUGUCCGUCUGUCCGUCCCGUGUCCAUCCCCGUGUCCAUCUGUCUGUCCAUCCCCGUGUCCAUCUCUGUGUCCAUCUGUCUGUCCAUCCCUGUGUCCAUCCCUGUGUCCAUCUGUCCAUCCCCGUGUCCGUCUGUCCAUCCCCGUGUCCGUCUGUCUGUCCCUGUGUCUGUCUGUCCAUCCCCGUGUCCAUCUGUCUGUCCGUCCCCGUGUCCAUCCCUGUGUCUGUCUGUCCAUCCCUGUGUCCAUCUGUCCAUCCCCGUGUCCGUCUGUCCGUCCCGUGUCCAUCCAUCCGUCCCUCGCUGUCCCCUACGUCCCUUGACCGUCCCCCUGAGUGUCCCUCUGUCCGUCCGUCCCUCAAUGUCCGUCUGUCCCUCUCUGUCCCCCUGUCCCCCUGAGUGUCCGUCUGUCCCUCGGUGUCCCCCCCCGUCCAUCUGUCACUCUCUGUCCGUCUGUCCCUCGGUGUCCCCCUCUGUCCGUCUGUCCCCCUCAUUGUCCGUGUGUCCCUGUCCAUCUGUCUGUCCCCUGGUGUCCGUCUGUCCUGAGCGAUCCCCUGUCCCCUGAGUGUCCCUCUGUGUCCCCUGUCCGUCUGUCUGUCCCUCACUGUCCGUCCGUGUGUGCCUGU